AUCAGUUAUUCCAAACGGAUAACACUCCCACCACCACUAACUACCACACAUGGCUUGCACUUCCUUCCCCUCACCGCCGACCACCGUCGCCGCCGUCAACCACCACACCCUGCAACCACCCUCCACCUCUCUCUCCCCCUGUUCCUCCUUCCUCACCACCAACCUCCACCACCGUCGACUCACCACCAGGCUCCACGUGUCCUCUCCCACUAACAAGCCCGCUGGCACCACCACCACCCAAAAGCCUGCCGGAGAAACCGUCUUCUUCGACGGCGGAGCCCACUACGGGGACCUCGUUGCGAACCUUCUUCUGGGCUUCACCUUGCUCUGGCUGCCCCUGACCUUAGCGGCGGUGUCUCGGGCUCUGUUCCUCCGGUACAGGUUCACCAACUUCAGAGUCUCUGUUAUCUCUGGCUUCACCGGCCAGGACCGGAGCGAUUUCUCGUAUAAGGUGAUAAAGGAUGUUCAGGUUGUGCCACGGUUCAUUGGUGAGUGGGGUGACAUUGUCAUCACAUUGAAGGAUGGCACCAAGGUGGACCUGAGAAGUGUCCCAAAGUUCAGAGAAAUUGCCAAGUAUUGCCUCUCCAUGGCAAAGGAGUCUCAGGAUUUGAAUGAAACUGGGCCUAAAGGCUUCUGAUACAGGUUUUCUAAUUCCUCUUUUCUCAUACAGGUGGGGUUGGGAAGCGAAGAUGCAUCUUUGAACAAAGGUUGGAAUUACUUGAGCCAUCAUGCUUGGAGACACCUUCCUGGAAAUUUCUCUCCCUCAUCUCCAAAGCAGUGAUGAUUAAUUUCUCAGUGCUAGUGUGCUGCUGCUAAGAGAGGAUACUUUGCCCAAGUGGUUGGGUUGGGAGAAUAAUCUAUCUCCUUCAAAUGUUUGGACUGACAAAUAGAGCCAAGUCCCACACUUGGUCAUUCCCAUACUUUCCUCAUCAAUGGCUAUCAUCUGAUACACUCUGUCACUGCAAAAGAAAAGAAGCAAGAAGGACCAACCUCAAGUCACAAAAGGAACUGAAACUGGGGUUUGCUGGUUCAUUGGGACUUUUGACCAUGUUCAAGGAGUCUUCAUUUAUUGUUUUUCCUAUAUAUAAAAAGAAAUGGUGUUUUUCAUUUAGUAAUUUUUAUUCCUCAGACAAAAGCAAAACUAUGCAGCAGAGUGAAAGAAAGAAGAGGUGUUGUCAAGUCAUGGGUGAAUGAAGCAGAGCCAGAUGAGCUGUUGUGUAAGUGCCAUCUUUAUUGAAAGAUGCUAAAGAGAUAGACCCAUUUGGAAUAUGACAGAAUUUUUUUUCAUUCUGAGUUCCUCUUUGACACUUUGUAGGUUUGGUUCUGCUAUUAGGCCCCUACUUUUAUUAUCCAAUGCAACCCUCCUCCUUUAAAGUUUAUAUCCAAAUCAAAUCCCAUUCAAU